AGAAAGAUAUCAAAAAAAAGAAGGAACUCGGCAAAAUAAGAUUCCGCCUGUUUACCAAAAACAUCGCCUCUUGCAUGAUAUAAGAGGUCCUGUCUGCCCAGUGACUUAGUUCAACGGCCACGGUAUCCUGACCGUGCGAAGGUAGCGUAAUCAUUUGUUUUUUAAUUAAAGACCUGUAUGAAAGACCACACGAGAAUCACACUGUCUCCUUUCUUCAAUCAGUGAAAAUAAUCUCCUCGUGCAAAAGCGAGAAUUACCAUAUAAGACGAAAAGACCCUGUGGAGCUUCAAACACCCAACACCUGUUGUAACAACCUUACUUCCACCCACCAACAACAGUCUGAUUGUAAGUUUUCGGUUGGGGUGACCAUGGAGAAAAAACAAACCUCCAAGAUGAACCAGAACUUUCUUUAAUUUAGAGCUACAACUCUAAAUAUCAGAAUACUGACAUUAAUUGACCCUUCUUGAUCAACGAACCAA
rnacentral:rRNA from 1 species